AAAAACGUGGUACGUGGCUGCUGGCGUAGGCUCGAAGGGGCGGGACUAAGCCCUUCACCAACCAAGGAGACUCGGCCUAGUAAACUGAGGGGUGUGGCCAAGGGAGAGAGCCUCUUCCCUUGCGGCCCUGGCGUGUGGUCAGGUAUCUAGGUACCAAGAGCAUCAUCGUUCCAGCACGGAAGUUUAGCGCCCUAGAGGAGCAGGCCACUGGAGCGUCCCUGAGGGCCUGUGGUAAAUCCCCCCUGUCACUAGGCGGCAGUAGAGGACUGAGCAGGACAUGGGGAGGGGUUGAUGACUGCUGAUGGAGAACAGGCCCGGGAAAGGGCUUUGGGACUGCUGUACAUCAGGACUACAGUCUCAGAUCAAAUCACAAAAGAAGGAAACGGUGGCUCACAGAAAAAGAACAGCUUACCCCUGACUAAUAAACAUGAAAAGAAGCGCAAUUCUAUUCAUAAUUAAAUGAAUAAACCUGAAAUAAAAUGAGAUAUUUUCCUACUCUCAAA